GCAGGUUACAGCUUGGCUCGGUUAUGUGGGCAUGUCUUUCUAAUGUGCUCUCAUUGUCCGCAGGGAGGUUAUUUUGCAUAUUCUUGUUUCUUAUAUAACAACUGUAUGCAAUUUCACUUCAAAUACUUUUCUGUUAUUUUUAGGUGAGAUGAGUUUUCCUGAUAAGAAAGGCUCAGGAAAGUCUAAGCUCAGAACUCUCCCUUGUUUCUGUGUGGUGUUAAAAAACGUGGGAGAUGGCUUUCAGGAGUUCCUGUCUUUGUUCCUCUUCCCCACAUUGGUCUACAUCUCAUCCUUCCUUUCCUGUGUCCCUAUCCAGCUCAACUGUGAUUUCAUUUCCUGCAGUUCUUCCUCCUGAGGGGCCCUGUCCCAGAGGCUUGCUCUGGAGGAUCACAGAGCUCAGAUUUCUUCCCGCCCCUUCAGCCUUUCUUAUUGUGGGCCGCUUCCACUCACUCGGUGUUACAGAGUGCAAACCCCUCCUGGUCAUUUCUCCAAAGGCCCCCAGAAGAUGCUCACCAUCAUCUUUGAUUAGCAAAAUGCAAAUAAAAAUCACAAUAAGGGCCGGGUGUGGUGGCUUACACCUGUAAUCCCAGCACUUUGGGAGGCUGAGGUGGGCGGAUCACUUGAGGCCAGGAGUUUGAGACCAACCUGGGCAAAAUGGUGAAACCCUGUCUCUACUACAAAUAC
rnacentral:lncRNA from 1 species